GACGAACGCUGGCGGCGUGCCUAAUACAUGCAAGUAGAACGCUGAAGGAGGAGCUUGCUUCUCUGGAUGAGUUGCGAACGGGUGAGUAACGCGUAGGUAACCUGCCUGGUUGCGGGGGAUAACUAUUGGAAACGAUAGCUAAUACCGCAUAAUAGUAGAUGUUGCAUGACAUUUGCUUAAAAGGUGCAAUUUCAUCACUACCAGAUGGACCUGCGUUGUAGUAGUUAGUUGGUGGGGUAAUGGCUCACCAAAGCGACGAUACAUAGCCGACCUGGGAGGGGGAGCGGCCACACUGGGACUGAGACACGGCCCAGACUCUCCCGGGAGGGAGCAGUAGGGGAUAUUCGGCAAUGGACGGAAGUGUGACAGAGCAAAGCGGCGUGAGUGAAGAAGGGUUUCGGAUCGUAAAGCUCUGUUGUAAGAGAAGAAAGAGAGUGAGAGUGGAAAGUUCACACUGUGACGGUAACUUACCAGAAAGGGAAGGCUAACUACGUG
rnacentral:rRNA from 1 species